rnacentral:RNase_P_RNA from 1 species
AAAGCAGGACGGAUAGCCGCGGGGAGAAGAUCCCUGAGGAAAGUCCGAGCUCCGCAGGGCAGGGUGCUGGGUAACGCCCAGUGAGGGUGACCUCAAGGAAAGUGCCACAGAAAGAUACCGCCCGGCCGGAGGUUGCUUCCGGCCGGGUAAGGGUGAAAUGGUGCGGUAAGAGCGCACCAGCGGUCAGGCGACUGGCCGGCUAGGGAAACCCCAACCGGAGCAAGACCAAAUAGGGGAGAGUUGACGUGGCCCGCCGAUCUCCCGGGUUAGGUCGCUAGAGGUGCCAGGCAACUGGCAUCCCAGAUAGAUGGCUAUCGCCCCGCAAGGGGAACAGAACUCGGCUUACAGGCCUGCUUUGCUU